rnacentral:rRNA from 1 species
AAUAGAUACCCGGGUAGUCCACGCCGUAAACGGUGGGCACUAGGUGUGGGCAGCAUUCCACGUUGUCCGUGCCGUAGCUAACGCAUUAAGUGCCCCGCCUGGGGAGUACGGCCGCAAGGCUAAAACUCAAGGGAAUUGACGGGGGCCCGCACAAGCGGCGGAGCAUGUGGCUUAAUUCGACGCAACGCGAAGAACCUUACCAAGGCUUGACAUACACCGGAAACAUCCAGAGAUGGGUGCCCCCUUGUGGUCGGUGUACAGGUGGUGCAUGGCUGUCGUCAGCUCGUGUCGUGAGAUGUUGGGUUAAGUCCCGCAACGAGCGCAACCCUUGUCCCGUGUUGCCAGCAGGCCCUUGUGGUGCUGGGGACUCACGGGAGACCGCCGGGGUCAACUCGGAGGAAGGUGGGGACGACGUCAAGUCAUCAUGCCCCUUAUGUCUUGGGCUGCACACGUGCUACAAUGGCCGGUACAAAGAGCUGCGAUACCGUGAGGUGGAGCGAAUCUCAAAAAGCCGGUCUCAGUUCGGAUUGGGGUCUGCAACUCCG